rnacentral:lncRNA from 1 species
CAGAGCUGCAAUGAUAAGCAUCUUUCUUUAUCCUGCUAUGGCGGCAGUGUGGAUUUUCACAACAUUCCUUGGAUGCAUAGUUGGUUAAUCUGAAUCUGUUAUUUCCCUUCCCAAAGACUUCUAAUACUGGUGCCGGGGGCUCUAUCAAUGGAUGUCUGCCUAAUGCCAGCACUGGGUGCUGCUGGGGACACACCACUGGCUUUGAGGACUCAUCAGAUGGCUCCCGGGAAGAGCUCAUCACCAAGGCUUUAUUAGUGGUUCCAAGCAUAGAGAGAGAAAUGCAGAAGCAAAAUAUCGAGCACAACACGGGAACACAUCACUGUGGCCAACAGAGACGUGGGACAGAAG